rnacentral:rRNA from 1 species
UUAGAGUUUGAUCCUGGCUCAGGAUGAACGCUAGCGGCAGGCUUAACACAUGCAAGUCGAGGGGCAGCGAGAUCAGUGCUUGCACUGAUUGUCGGCGACCGGCGCACGGGUGCGUAACGCGUAUGCAACCUACCCAUUACAGGGGGAUAACACUGAGAAAUCGGUACUAAUACCCCAUAACAUCCAGGGAGGCAUCUUCUUGGGUUGAAAACUCCGGUGGUAAUGGAUGGGCAUGCGUUGUAUUAGUUAGUUGGUGGGGUAACGGCUCACCAAGACAACGAUACAUAGGGGGACUGAGAGGUUAACCCCCCACAUUGGUACUGAGACACGGACCAAACUCCUACGGGAGGCAGCAGUGAGGAAUAUUGGUCAAUGGACGCAAGUCUGAACCAGCCAUGCCGCGUGCAGGAAGACGGCUCUAUGAGUUGUAAACUGCUUUUGUACGAGGGUAAACGCAGAUACGCGUAUCUGUCUGAAAGUAUCGUACGAAUAAGGAUCGGCUAACUCCGUGCCAGCAGCCGCGGUAAUACGGAGGAUUCAAGCGUUAUCCGGAUUUAUUGGGUUUAAAGGGUGCGUAGGCGGUCGGAUAAGUUAGAGGUGAAAUCCCGGGGCUCAACUUCGGAAUUGCCUCUGAUACUGUUCGGCUAGAGAGUAGUUGCGGUAGGCGGAAUGUAUGGUGUAGCGGUGAAAUGCUUAGAGAUCAUACAGAACACCGAUUGCGAAGGCAGCUUACCAAGCUACUUCUGACGUUGAGGCACGAAAGCGUGGGGAGCAAACAGGAUUAGAUACCCUGUAGUCCACGCAGUA